rnacentral:ncRNA from 1 species
AUAUGAACCGUGAAGAGGACUAGUAGUAAGUUGGGAUUAUUGUAGAGAGCGAAUGGUUGGUGCAAAUUCGUAUAGAACACUUAUGAACUCACCUCGGAGUUGCAAUUGUGAAAUUUAAGUAAUGAUUGCCGUAUUCUUGCGUUAAAAGAUGAGAGAGGUAAGAGACUACUUUUUUUAGACUCUUGCAACUAAGGUGGUACCGCGUAAUUUACGUCCUUAGA